rnacentral:piRNA from 1 species
UCUAUUGAAGACACUUUGAACUUGCC